rnacentral:rRNA from 1 species
GUAGGGUGCAAGCGUUAAUCGGAAUUACUGGGCGUAAAGCGUGCGCAGGCGGUUAUGCAAGACAGAGGUGAAAUCCCCGGGCUCAACCUGGGAACUGCCUUNGUGACUGCAUGGCUAGAGUACGGUAGAGGGGGAUGGAACUCCGCGUGUAGCAGUGAAAUGCGUAGAUAUGCGGAGGAACACCGAUGGCGAAGGCAAUCCCCUGGGCCUGUACUGACGCUCAUGCACGAAAGCGUGGGGAGCAAACAGGAUUAGAUACCCUGGUAGUCCACGCCCUAAACGAUGUCAACUGGUUGUUGGGGAUUCAUUUCCUUAGUAACGUAGCUAACGCGUGAAGUUGACCGCCUGGGGAGU